rnacentral:tRNA from 2 species
GUGCUUGUAGCUCAAUGGCAGAGCGCCUGACUGUGGAUCAGGAGGUUGCGGGUUCGAAACCCGUCAGGCACCCCA